UACGUAGGGCGCAAGCGUUGUCCGGAAUUAUUGGGCGUAAAGAGCUCGUAGGCGGCUUGUCACGUCUGCUGUGAAAUCCCGGGGCUCAACCCCGGGCGUGCAGUGGAUACGGGCUGGCUAGAGGCAGGCAGGGGAGAACGGAAUUCCCGGUGUAGCGGUGAAAUGCGUAGAGAUCGGGAGGAACAUCUGUGGCGAAGGCGGCCACCUGGACCAACACUGACACUGAGGCACGAAAGCGUGGGGAGCAAACAGG
rnacentral:rRNA from 1 species